rnacentral:rRNA from 1 species
CCCUUAGAUGUUCUGGGCCGCACGCGCGCUACACUGACGAUGGCAACGAGUUUUUCCUUCGCCGAAAGGUGUGGGUAAUCUUUUGAAACAUCGUCGUGCUGGGGAUAGAUCACUGCAAUUUUUGAUCUUGAACGAGGAAUUCCUAGUAAGCGCGAGUCAUCAGCUCGCGUUGAUUACGUCCCUGCCCUUUGUACACACCGCCCGUCGCUACUACCGAUUGAAUGGUUUAGUGAGGACUCCUGAUUGGCGCCGCCGCCCCGGCAACGGAGCAGCGGACUGCCGAAAAGUUGUUCAAACUUGAUCAUUUAGAGGAAGUAAAAGUCGUAACA